CAGUGCCCUCCCUGGUAAGUGGGAAGAUGGUGAACUGCAGAACAUGUGUGUUUCUCGUGUCGUAUGUCUGCUGACCGUCACCUUUAAGGGUCUCUGCCUGUACA
rnacentral:pre_miRNA from 1 species